rnacentral:rRNA from 1 species
CCUACGGGUGGCUGCAGUAAGGAAUAUUGGUCAAUGGAGGAAACUCUGAACCAGCCAUCCCGCGUGAAGGAUGAAGGGGCUCUGCCUUGUAAACUUCUUUUGUCUGGGGCGAAAAAGCUCGAUUUAUCGAGAACUGACGGUACCAGAAGAAUAAGCACCGGCUAACUCCGUGCCAGCAGCCGCGGUAAUACGGAGGGUGCAGGAGUUACCCGGAAUCACUGGGUUUAAGGGGGGCGUAGACGUCAGUGUAGAAAGGGUGUGGCUUAACCAGGGAAUUGCCAUUGAUACUGCAGAGCUUGAAUGAGGUUGAGGUUGGCGGAAUGGGACAUGUAGCGGUGAAAUGCUUAGAUAUGUCAUGGAACACCGAUUGCGAAGGCAGCUGACUGGACCUAUAUUGACGCUGAGGCACGAAAGCGUGGGGAGCGAACAGGAUUAGAUACCCUUGUAGUC